rnacentral:lncRNA from 1 species
GCCUUCAGCCUAGGAUAUGUGAACAAGGUGCAAGUGGGGAAGGUUCUAAACUGCAUUAGUUCAACAUAUAUUUAUUGACCACUAUGUUCCAAGCAUACUUCUACAUGUUUGGGGAGUAUCAGUGAGAAAAUAGACAAAGGGCCUCGUCUUCAUGGAGCUAUUGUUCUAACAGAGAAAAAUAAAUAAUAAACACUAAAACCAGUCAAUGAGUAAGUUAGGUAGUUUAUUAGAAGAUCACAAUAACUAUGAAAAAAGGGAAAAUAGAAGUGUAAUAAGAGAUGAGAGGAGGGCAAAAUAGAGUGAGAGCUGCACAGAUCAUCUGCAUCACCAUACUGGACACCACAGCUUGAGACACUCGGGUGGGGGCUUGAUGCUGAGACUUAGGCUCCGGAGGUCAGUUCUGGGGAGAGGACUAGGGUUGGCUGUGUGGGGACAGCCUGGGAGGCUAAGGAGCUGUGUGUCAUGGGCUGGGGAGUGGUGUGCUAUAGGCUGGAGAGCAGUGUACUACGGGCUGGGGAGUAGAAUGCCAUGGCAGAGGAACCCAGGAGAAGGUCUGGGUCUGCAGAAAAGCAAGGCACCAUUGUUGGGGAGAGAAAGAGGAGAGGAGAGGCCCUCCAUGGGAAUCUCCCUGUGUGCACGUGCAUGGGCUCUCAGAGUGUAGGGUGCCUCUGGUGCAGGCUACUGUUGGCGAGAAGCCACUUGCUCUGGCUAUGGAAGACUGGGCGCUUCUUGUUCAGGCUAUGGGUGGAUGGGCACCUCUUGUGUGGGCUAAGGGCAGCAGGGGCUAAGUGUGAAGUGGUGCCUCUACAGGUGGCCAGGACAGACUGUGACAGUCAUCUUGGGGGCCAGAGGGAGGCAUGGCCUGCUACCUCUGGGGUCCUGUGAGGAGGCUCCACCUGCAGCCCCAGUCACCUCAGGGGUUGGAAAAAAAAAAAGAGGGCACUGCAACCAAGCACCACGCAUUGUUCCUCUCACUCCACUGGGAACACCCCCCACCCCACCACAGCUGCCACUGCCGAACAUUCUGGGCAGCAUGCAGAUGCUUGAUUACUGUCCCUUGCCAAGACUCUACAAUGAGGAGCAGCUGGUGCAGCACCUCCGGAAUGGGUUAGGUGGGAUGGGGUGCUUCUUGCAUGGUCUGCAUGUGGCAGGGGCAAACCACCACAGUUAUCUCUGACUCCAGAGGUGAGUGUGGUUCACUGCUGAUGGGUAUCCCUGAACAAGAACCACUUGCAGCCCCAAUCACCUCAGAGGGCACCACAGAGGAGGACAUUGCAAUGAAAUACCACCUGUUGUUGCUCUUACUGCCCUGGGAGCACACCUGCUCUGCUGCUGCCACUGCCAAACACUCUGGGCAGUUCCCAGACGCUUGAUCACUGCCCCUUCCUGGGAACCUACAACUAGGAGCAGCUGGUGCAGCACAUUCUGUGGGGCUAAGAGGAAUGAAGUGCUUCUUGCAUGGUCUAUAGGUGGUGGGGGCAAACCACUGCAGUAAUAGCUGACUCCAGAGGUGGGCAUGGCCACCACCACUAUGGGUCCAUGAACAAGCACCACUUGUGGCCCAGUCACCUCAGGGGCAACCACAGAGGAGGGCACUGUGACUGAAUACCAUGUGUUUUUGCUCUUGCACCCCCAGGAACACACCAGCCCGCCCUCUGCCACUGCUGAAUGCUCCAGGCAGUGCCCACAUGCUUGAUCUCUGUCAUUUCACAGGAUCUUGCAACUAGGAGCAAACUUUGCAGCACCUCCUGUGUGGGCUGAGUGAGAUGUGGGUGAUUUUUGCAUAGUCUGCAGGAGGCAGGGGCAAACCACCACAGUUAUCACUGACUCCAGAGGUGGUCAUGGCCCACUACCACUAGGGGUCCCUGAACAGGCACCACCAGUGGCUCCAGUCAUCUCAGAGGAGGGCAUUGUGAUUGAACACUAAUUGUUGUCCCCUCCCCCACCCUGGAACACACACACCAUGCUGUUGCCAUUGCCAAAUGCUCUGAGCACCUUGUAAAUAUGCCUAGGGCUCAUCGCCACUUCCCAGGGCCCUGCAACUAGGAGUAGCCUGUGCCACCUCUCUACAGGUCCUUGUUGCUGUUAAGAGCCCCAUCAAACAUGCACUUACUGCCAGCCCUAGCCAUUGCUUCCUUCUCCCUGGAAACACACUCAGCACCCUGGAGUAACAGCCUGCUCACACUGAAGAAACAGAGAGCUAAUAUUCAAACUCCCAUGCUAAAAAUAAAUAGUAACCCCCCACACACACAAAAUACAAAGGGGUGCUCUUGCAUAGAAGUAGCCCUCCAAGACUACAGUUUGGCUUCCCUAAACUAAGAGACAAAGAAAGACUUAAGCUAGAUGAAGAAGCUCAGAAACAAUUCCCAGUUAAAGGAACAGGAGAAUUCAUAUUAAACAGCAAAUAUGAAACAGACCUCUGCAGUCUGAUAGACACUGAGUUCAAAAGGGAGGUAGUGAAAAUACUGAAGGAAUUAAGGCUGAAUAUCAAGGAAUCAAGAGAAGAUAUGAACUGUAAUGCAGAUUCCUUUACAAAGGAACUAUAAAAUAUAAGGAGGGACAUAGAAAAAUUAGAAAAUUCAUUUACAGAGACACAAACUGAGCUAAAGGCACUAAAGAGCAGAAUGAAUAAUGCAGAAGAACAAAUUAGUGACUUGAAAGAUAGAAUAAUGGAAAUCACUGAAUCAGGACAGCAGACAGAAAACCCAAUGAAGAAACAUGAAAGAAAUAUAAAAGAUCUAAGAGAUAAUAUAAAGCAGGCCAAUCAAUGCAUAAGAGGAAUUCCAGAAGGAGAAGAAAAAGAAAAGGGGAUUGAAAAUAUAUUUGAAGAAAUUAUGUCUGAAAACUUUCCAAAUCUAAAAGAAACUGCUAUCAAGGUAUAGGAAGCACAGAGGACCGCAACAAGUUGAACCCAAACAAGACCACACCAAGACGUAUUAUAAUAAAAAUGGCAAAAGUUAAAGAUAAGGAUUCUAAAGGCAACAAAAAGAAAGCAAAGCAUUAAUAACAAGGGAACCUCCAUAAGGCCAUCAGCUGAUUUCUUUACAGAAACACCACAGGCCAGAAGGGAGUGGAAAGAUAUAUUCCAAGUGCUGAAAGGAAAAAAAUUUCAAGAAUAUCAUUUAAAAUAGAAAGGGAAAUGAAGAAUUCUCCAACAAACAAAAGCCAAGACUACAGCAAUAGUAAACCCAUUCUAAAAGAAAUACUGAAAGGGCUUCUCUAAACAACAAUAAAAAAAGAAGAAAUAGGAUGCAGGAAACCACAAUUGGAAAGCAAUCACUUAAAUAAGCCAGCAUACAGAUAUAAACAUGAAGAUGCUAAAAAAAAUGAUUUCAAAAUUAUGCCAAGUUGGGAAGGAAAGUAAGAAAAUAUAGAUUACUUUUUUUAUUUUAAUGAUGUGUUUGGGCCUAUAUGACUAUCAAACUAAAGCAAGCAGGUAUAGGAAGGGGUUAACAUACUUAAAAAACAGGGCAACCACAAAUCAAAACCAAACAUUACAUUCACAAAAACAAAAGAAAAGUACUAAAGCAUAAAAUAAAUGGAAACCAUCCC